GUUCCUACCUCCAACUGGGUGGGCAUUGCUGGGACAGGGCGGGAAUGACAAGAGGCAGAGCAGGGCAGAUACCUUGGUCCUGGGGACAGAUUCCGUCUGCAGGCAGCCAAGUAUCCCCUGAUGGGUUUUUUGCAGGAUCAGAUUAGCCGAGGCUCAGGACAGCCCUCUCCCAGUGUCACUCAAAGCUGCUAAAUCAGUAUGCUUCUAUCAGAGCAGUGCUUGACCUCGGUGUGUAUGUGAGCUGCUGUCCCUUUCAGAACCCGGACAUUGAUUGCGCUUCUGUGCCUCUCCUUAGAAGCGAAGCCAAAAUCUGUAUGUGCCGAGGGUGAUGUGCCGUCACACGGUGGUGACCUCGAGAGCCCAGUGUGCUGGUCACACUUGUGUAUGGGUUCCCUUAGCGGUACUUGGCUUUGGAGGUAUUUGUGGUGGUGUUGGGGCAGUCUCUCUGUGUCUCUGGUCUCAGUUUCCUUUUGGGGUGGCAAUGCUGUCUGCCUCAUAGGGUGCCUCAUGGGAGCCAUUGUCCCUUUCAGAAUGUGAGCAUUCUAGUCCUGUGACUCUGUCCUUAGAAGCAAAGCCAAAAGCUGCGUGCUUGACAGAGUCUCAUGCAGUUGUCAGGGAGCAUAGUGUCCUUAAUCCCAGGUACAGGGGACCAACUGAUCAGUAACCAACCAUCAUACCUCAGACGAGAGGGCUGCAGAGCUGCUAAAAAUAGUGACUGUGGUUGGGACACACUGAUGCCCCAGCAAGGGGCAACUUGUAGCACACAAGUGUCUGUAAUUCCCUGACAGGGACAAUGGAAACAGUUGAGCUCAGCUCAAGCCAGGUGGAAGGUGAGAGCUGGCAUCUGAGGUUGUCCAUUGACCUCCAUGUUUGCCAUGGCGUGCAUGUGCCCUCAUUCACAUACAUGAGUGUCCGUAUGCACGUGCAUGAUUCACGCGUACAUGUGCAUCUUAUACACCCACACAGGUAGUAAUUGUAACCACUGAACAAGGUGCUGUUUUCAGUUGAAGUCAGGCGUGUGAACAGGGCAGGCUUACAGCAGUGGUGAGGUGUGAACAGGGCAGGCCUACAGCAGUGUGAGGUGUGAACAGGGCAGGCCUACAGCAGUGUGAGGUGUGAACAGGGCAGGCCUACAGCAGUGUGAGGUGUGAACAGGGCAGGCUUACAGCAGUGUGAGGUGUGAACAGGGCAGGCUUACAGCAGUGUGAGGUGUGAACAGGGCAGGCUUACAGCAGUGUGAGGUGUGAACAGGGCAGGCUUACAGCAGUGUGAGGUGUGAACAGGGCAGGCUUACAGCAGUGGUGAGGUGUGAACAGGGCAGGCUUACAGCAGUGUGAGGUGUGAACAGGACAGGCUUACAGCAGUGUGAGGUGUGAACAGGGCAGGCUUACAGCAGUGUGAGGUGUGAACAGGGCAGGCUUACAGCAGUGUGAGGUGUGAACAGGGCAGGCUUACAGCAGUGGUGAGGUGUGAACAGGGCAGGCUUACAGCAGUGUGAGGUGUGAACAGGGCAGGCUUACAGCAGUGGUGAGGUGUGAACAGGACAGGCUUACAGCAGUUGUGAGGUGUGAACAGGGCAGGCUUACAGCAGUGUGAGGUGUGAACAGGGCAGGCUUACAGCAGUGUGAGGUGUGAACAGGGCAGGCUUACAGCAGUGUGAGGUGUGAACAGGGCAGGCUUACAGCAGUGUGAGGUGUGAACAGGGCAGGCUUACAGUGGUGAUGUGCAGGUAGGACUGCUGGUCUUGUUCAUUUAUUAUUGGGUUCUGGGUCACUCGAUCCUGUCACUUUUUACUGGGUCCCAGGACUGGUGCUGGCAGGCGACCUGGAUGAGGAGGUAGACAUCUUAGCUGCACCAGUUGUCAUAGCCACCCAGCAGCACCUGGCUCCUGGCUCUGCCAGAAUAGCCAAUCUGGGCAGAAGUUGGCAAGUCAGCUGAGUGCUGCUUCACUGCAAGCUGAGGAAGGGUGGUGUAUGCCAGGGUGGGGCCCUGUCACCCACCCCUCUGCUCUUGAGUUCUUGUGGGAGAAUGACUGAGUGUCUGGCCCAGUAGUGAAGCGGGAGAGGUGCUGGCAGAACACACAGGCCACCCUCAGUGGCUGGAGUGUUGUUCAGGGGCCCACUGCUCCUUUUCUUCUGGCUACCAGACCAUUGCAUUUCACCUUGAAUACUGAGUUCUAACCGCCUGGUUUGUGCUGACUUUCCAACCAGACUGGAAGCUUCUGGAAAUGCUAAAUCUCUGGCAGGGUACGGCCUCUGCAGUGCUCACUGUGCUUAUUGACUUUUCUGUUUCUUCUUUCUUUUAAGAGAGAGAGAGAGAGAGAUACAGACAGACAGAUAGACAGACACUGGUCUUGUAGGCCAGGCUGACCUUGAAUUCACCUGGCUUAUAAAUGUUUUGAUCGUGCUUCUGGCCCAGAGAUUUUUUUUUGGGGGGGGGUUGUUUUUGUUUUUUUCUGUUGUUGUUUUUCUUGAGACAAUGUUUUCUCUGCGUAGCCCUGGCUAUCCUGGAACUCACUCUGUAGACCAGACUGGUCUCAAACUCAGAGAUCCACCUGCCUCUGCCUCCUGAGUGCUGGGUUGAGGGUGUGCCCCACCACUCAGUUGUUUUAACAAAAAGGAAAUGGGUGUAAAUGAAAAUGCCGCAGGGGUCUGGAGAAGUGGCUCAGUGGUCAGAGCACUUGUUGCUCUUGCAGAGGACCUGAGUUCAAUUCCCAGCCACAACUGACUCCAAUGCCCCACACCUCCUCCUGGCCUCCUGUGCACUGAAUGUAUGUGGUACACAGACAUGCAUGCAGGCGGAACGGCCUUACACAUGAGAAAAGUAGAGGUGUGUAGGGGUUUUUUUUGUUUUUUUUUUCUUUUCUUUUUUUUCGGAGCUGGGGACCAAACCCAGGGCCUUGCGCUUGCCAGGCAAGUGCUCUACCACUGAGCUAAAUCCCCAACCCCGUGUGUAGGGGUUUUGUUUGUUUUUUGAAAAGGGCUCGGGAUCUUUGGUCUGUUAACUCUGCCCAAUCUCUUCAUGGCUACAGUGACUGCUAAGGUCAGCUUUGGGUCCCCUGUGCUGCUAUAGAAGGGUCUGUGACAGUCCCACCCUCUGCUUUAGGGAAGCUCAAGACAGUGUCCAAAGAGCAGCAGGGUCCACUUUGAGAGCAGGCUGUCACUGGGUACAGCCAUGUCGUGGUCAGUGUGCCGAGAGGUGCAGCAUGGUGGAGUUAGGGGUCAAAGGGAUGAGAGGACCAGAGUUGGAUCCGAGGCUGGAUUUGGUGGAGAGAGAGCAGUGCUGUCCCCAGGCUCACGUGAGGUUGGGAGAGGGGUGAGCAGAGAGCUUGUGUCUGCAGUGGAGACCUAAGCUGGGAGGCUGCGUCCUCAGCCUGGAGAGCCAGGCUGAUUGACAGACUGGCUCAGGGAAGGUGGACGGGCUGAGCUUUAGAGCAGGGAAGUUGUGAUCCUGCUGACAGCUGAGAAGAAACCGGGACAGGAGGCUAAGCAACGCUGAACUCAGGAUGGGGCAUUCCAGACGGUGGAGGUUGUAGAAAGGAAGGACGAGGUUUUGGUGAGGAUCCCAAAUAGAGCGUAGGGGUCUGGGUAGGGAGGGCAUGGCUCUGGCGUCUGGCUUCCUCAGACCUUGGGGUAUUAUCCUUCAAAUCAUAAUGAGCUAUUGAAAAGCUAUCUUUGGGGGCUGGGGAUUUAGCUCAGUGGUUAGAGCGCUUACCUAGGAAGCGCAAGGCCCUGGGUUCGGUCCCCAGCUCCGAAAAAAAAAAAAAAAAAAAGAAC